GUUUGGUGUCUCUCUGUGGGUCAGGUGGGUGUUUGUUUGGUGUCUCUCUGUGGGUCAGGUAGGUGUUUGUUUGGUGUCUCUCUGUGGGUCAGGUAGGUGUUUGUUUGGUGUCUCUCUGUGGGUCAGGUAGGUGUUUGUUUGGUGUCUCUCUGUGGGUCAGGUAGGUGUUUGUUUGGUGUCUCUCUGUGGGUCAGGUGGGUGUUUGGCUGGUAUCUGUGGGUCAGGUGGGAGUUUGUUGGCUCUCUGUGGGUCAGGUGGGUGUUUGGUGUCUCUCUGUGGGUCAGGUGGGUGUUUGUUUGGUGGCUCUCUGUGGGUCAGGUAGGUGUUUGUUUGGUGUCUCUCUGUGGGUCAGGUGGG